GGCGGGGAUGCUGAAAGGAUUAGGACUCAGGACGAGGAGUCAGGAAGCGCCAGGAGGCGAAGACCACAGGAUAGUCAGGAUGACGCGCGUCUUGGAGACGUUUUACAGGGAAAAGGAAGAAACAGGGACCGUUGGACGCUAAGGGAAAGACAGGGUGAGUCGUUAGCGAACAGGGAAAGAAGAGCCCGUUAAGGGUGGUCAGU
rnacentral:sRNA from 1 species